rnacentral:rRNA from 1 species
AUUGAACGCUGGCGGCAGGCCUAACACAUGCAAGUCGAACGAGUGGCGGACGGGUGAGUAAUGACUGGGAAACUGACCGAUGGAGGGGGAUAACUACUGGAAACGGUAGCUAAUACCGCAUACCAUCGGAGGUGCCCAGAUGGGAUUAGUGAGUGGGUGGGGUAACGGCUCACCUAGGCGACGAUCCCUAGCUGGUCUGAGAGGAUGACCAACCACACUGGAACUGAGACACGGUCCAGACUCCUACGGGAGGCAGCAGUGGGGAAUAUUGCACCAUGGGCGCAAGCCUGAUCCAGCCAUGCCGCGUGUAUGAAGAAGGCCUUCGGGUUGUAAAGUACUUUCAGCGGGGAGGCGUUACCCGCAGAAGAAGCACCGGCUAACUCCGUGCCAGCAGCCGCGGUAAUAC